GGCAGGGUGCUGAUGGGUGCCGUUUCAAACCUUUAGCUAGACACCGAGUGCUGAUUGGUGCUUACAGUCCUUUAGCCAGACAGAAAGUUCUCCAAGUCCCCACUGCACCCAGAAGCCCAGCCGGUUUCACCUCUCACCGGGGCUCUGCGGCACUCAGCCCAGGCGCUCAGGCAGCCCAGAGGGAGCUAGUCCCUGAUCAACUCCAGCAGGCGCCGGCUGGCCGAGCCGAGUGCGGGGCCCACUGAGCCUGCGCCAACCCAGAACCCGCGCCUGCCCGGGAACGCGGCGCGCAGUUCGGGCUCCCGCCGGCACCUCUCCCUUCACACCUUCCGGUGAGCAGAGGGAGCUGGCUCCGGCAUCGGCCAGCCCCACAGAGGGGCCCUCAUAGCGCAGCGGCAGGCUGAAGGGCUCCUGGCGUGUGGCCAGAGCGGAGGCCCAGGAGGCGCUGAAAGCGAGCCAGGGCUGCUAGCACGUUUUCACCUCUCAUCACUACUAUCAUGAUCACUACUAUCAUAUUUAUAUGUGAGAAGUGCCUUUUGCCUCCUGCCAUAAUUCUGAGGCCUCCCCAGCCAUGUGGAAAUCAUGGAAGUCCUGGUGAAUUAUCACACACUCCUAAUGUGCUGAGAAAUACCACUUUCAAGACACUGAGAUAUAAAACCACUUAAAA